rnacentral:pre_miRNA from 1 species
CGAAUACUCCCUCCGUCCAGAAAUACUUGUCAUCAAAAUGGAUAAAAGGGGAUGUAUGUAGACAUAUUUUAGUUCUAGAUACAUCUCUUUUUAUCCAUUUUGAUGACAAGUAUUUUCGGACGGAGGGAGUAUAUA